ACACAGCAGGAGCCCCAGCCCGAGCGUCCGCGCUGCGGGCGGGAGGAGGAGAGGCGCGCACGCCGGAACCCGCCCAGAGCGUGUGGAAGCUGGGCCUGAGCCAGGUGCUCCUGGACCAGGUCCCUGAGGAGGAACGCGGCCUGGGGUCUGCGCCGCUGCUUGCCGUCGCCUCUGCUGCUGUCGCCGGGCAGUGACUAUUCUUGUAAUGUCGACCAUGUGAAGAGCUGGAAAUAACAUUUAGGCCUGACAGACUUCCUAUAUUGGCUUGAGAUCCCACCCAGACACCUAGAUCCUGGGACACAGAUUUUCAGGGACACCAUGGCCUGACCCACAUGGAUGGCUACAAGAACAAAGAAUUUCUACAGCAAGAAGUUUGCAAAAAUGAACUACACCCCCCCCCCCCGUUUUUGCUUAUUUUUUUUUGUAUAAAGAGAGCCUGUAUUUUGACUAGAGUAGGAUGGUUCUCCAAGACAGUAGUCUUCUAUUCUCUCUGUCUGCCGGCUUUCCAAAUAAAGUCUCUAUUCCUUGCCCCAACACCCUGUCUCCCGAUUUAUUGGCCUGUCAUGCGGCGAGCAGAAUGAGUUUGGACUCAGUAACAAUCCCCUCCCCCCCCAAAACACCCAAAAAUAAAUAAAAAUACUUUCUUGCUAAAAACUGCUGACCGUCACCUGACAAGGCAGGGUUGCCACAAACCUUCAAUUUGUAAAGUAACGCAGUAUCUUCGUAGUGCAAUAAAGCAAAGAACAAUAAAACAACAUAUGCCGGUAAAUUAUAUAUUAAAUGCAAAAGGCAAAACUACGUGCAUGUGCCCUGGGAGACUGUCACAGUCUGAGCUGUGUCCCUCCCCAAAGUUCCUUUGUUGAAGCCCCAUCCCCAGUGUGGCGGUACCUGGAGACAGGGCCAAAUGGAGGUUAAGUGAAGUCCUCAGGGUGGAGCCCUAAUCUGAUAGGACUGGUGUCCUUAUUAGAAGAGACACCAGAACCUCUCCCUCUCCUGCCCCUCCACCCCUCCUCCUCUGCUCAUCCAAGGCCAUUUGGACCCAGAGAGAAGGCAGCCAUCUGCAGACCGAGGACAGAAGUCUCU